GUUUACUGCAUUGCAAAUUGUUUUUUUCCCUUAAUGAUUUUCUUUCUUCGCACACAAAAGAAAUUAGAGCUACGGUAAAUUGCUUGGUGCUGCAAGAAAAUGUGGUGAAAAUCAUGAAAACAGAGGAUAUGCUUCAGAAUGGAGGUGUUUCAAUGAACAAGAUGUUAUGACUUCUUCUGCAAGGGUGAUAAUGGAAUAGCUUCUAUUCAUGCCUCUUAUGAAUGUACUGGCAACCACUAAUAUGGUAAAAUUUGUGCCCAAGCCACAUCUCCCAUGUAGAUGCAAAUUAAGGGCAUGUGUCUUGGAACUUGGAGGACCAAUAUCUUGUUAAUUUUGUUGAAGAGAAGGUAUGUAACAGGGACUCUUGUUUAGCAAUUGACAAUUAUGCUUUAAUUUGUAAUUAAUCCGGAUAAAGCCAAAAGG